CUCCAUAGCAACUGUGAAGGUUGCCAUGCAACCAUAUUCUUUUAGGGACAGUGAAAAUGCCCAAAGGCUUACUAAAAAUACAUGGGGAAAAAAAUCUGAAAUUUUCUUACUACUUUUAGUGGUUAUAAAGAACUAUGAUACAAGUUGAAAGCACAGGUCAAGCAAAUAAAAACCCAGCCCUGACCUUUCAAAAAUUGCUUGCUGUUGCCUGAAAUCUCAAGCUUUAUUCACAGAGAUGACUUUUGAUCGAUUCUAAAAUUGGUAGCUUAUGCUAGGCAGCCCUUGAAGACGGGAAGAUUCAGUAUGGUGCUAUUGGUAUUCCUCAUGGGGUUAAAGGUCAGCAGAAAGUCAUCAAUGCAAUAUUGAUUGGUGGGGCUGAAAAAUGCCCAUGUUUACACCUUCUCGCUGCUUAGGGUUGCGUACCAAACCUUAAGUAGACUCAUGCAGCCUCUGAGCGCGCUCUGGGACAAACCAUUCCAUCAGCAAAUGUGACAUCACUUCAGUCAGCUCAGCUGUUUCUGCAGCUUUCUAUAAAUAGCCAGAUAAAAAAUUGAAGACUACUUGCAGAGAAUUUAACCAACGAAUCUGCUUAUCCAAAUCAUUUAAGAUAAGUUGGGAUUCUGAUUUUGAAAUCUUUAGUUUUCCAUGUUUUUUAACAUAGAAUGUUAUUUUAAUAACAGAGUCUUUUUCAGUACACAUGUAAGAUCUGCUUAUGUGUAUCUAAUUUUAUGAUAGCUUGCCUCUUUAAAAGAGUGGCCCUUGUAAGAAACUGAACAGACAUUGGCCAGUCUCUACUGCAGUAGGCUUCGUUCACGUAGUACAGAUUUCUUGAGAUUAUCUAAUGUAUUAUUUUAGGAGCACAAAUUCAGUAAAUAAAUAAUAUGUUAGAUGGCUAUCAUCAAAUUAUAAUAUUGUAAGUUCCUUAAAAUCCAUCAACAAAGAUAUUAACAUUUCAAAAAGAUAAACAAAUAUG
rnacentral:lncRNA from 1 species